AGCUCAGCAGGUAGAGCACAACACUUUUAAUGUUGGGGUCCUGGGUUCGAGCCCCAGC
rnacentral:tRNA from 1 species